CCUACGGGAGGCAGCAGUGGGGAAUAUUGCACAAUGGGGGAAACCCUGAUGCAGCAACGCCGCGUGAGCGAUGAAGGCCUUCGGGUCGUAAAGCUCUGUCCUAAGGGAAGAAUACUGACGGUACCUUAGGAGGAAGCACCGGCUAACUACGUGCCAGCAGCCGCGGUAAUACGUAGGGGGCUAGCGUUAUCCGGAAUUACGGGGCGUAAAGGGUGCGUAGGCGGCCCUUCAAGUCAGAGGGGAAAGGCUACGGCUCAACCGUAGUAAGCCUUUGACACGGUAGGGCUGGAGUGCAGGAAAGGAAAGUGGAAUUCCCGGUGAAGCGGUCAAAUGCGUAGGGAUUGGGAGGAGCACCAGUUGCGAAGGCGGCUCUCUGGACUUUAACUGACGCGGAGGCACGAAAGCGUGGGGAGCGAACAGGAUUAGAUACCCCAGUAGUC
rnacentral:rRNA from 1 species